UUUACUUGAUUUCCUUCGGGGAUGAUUGUUCUGUGACUGAGUGGCGGACGGGUGAGUAACGCGUGGAUAACCUGCCUCACACAGGGGGAUAACAGUUGGAAACGACUGCUAAUACCGCAUAAGCGCACAGCACCGCAUGGUGCAGUGUGAAAAACUCCGGUGGUGUGAGAUGGAUCCGCGUCUGAUUAGCUAGUUGGCGGGGUAACGGCCACCAAGGCGACGAUCAGUAGCCGGCCUGAGAGGGCGACCGGCCACAUUGGGACUGAGACACGGCCCAGACUCCUACGGGAGGCAGCAGUGGGGAAUAUUGCACAAUGGGGGAAACCCUGAUGCAGCGACGCCGCGUGAGCGAUGAAGUAUUUCGGUAUGUAAAGCUCUAUCAGCAGGGAAGAUAAUGACGGUACCUGACUAAGAAGCUCCGGCUAAAUACGUGCCAGCAGCCGCGGUAAUACGUAUGGAGCAAGCGUUAUCCGGAUUUACUGGGUGUAAAGGGAGCGUAGGCGGUCCUGCAAGUCUGAUGUGAAAGGCCGGGGCUCAACCCCGGGACUGCAUUGGAAACUGUAGGACUAGAGUGUCGGAGGGGUAAGUGGAAUUCCUAGUGUAGCGGUGAAAUGCGUAGAUAUUAGGAGGAACACCAGUGGCGAAGGCGGCUUACUGGACGACUACUGACGCUGAGGCUCGAAAGCGUGNGGAGCAAACAGGAUUAGAUACCCUGGUANUCCACGCCGU
rnacentral:rRNA from 1 species